rnacentral:lncRNA from 1 species
UGCGGUGGUUUUGCACGGACACGACGAACAACGGCUCCUCGAUCCGUUCGGUUCCAUAGCAUGGCGGGAUGCUGUGGGGCGGCGAACAGCCGUGAAGUUCAAUCACCAAGGAUGAUUGAUUGAGAGUUUAAUCGGCCAUUAAUGCCAGUCGAUGCUCCGGGCAGGUCAGUUUUCUUUGGCGAUUCAUAUUUUUCAUUCAAUUCACGCGACCCCAUAUAAUCCCAGCCUUGUAGCUGCUCCUGUCCCACUCUGCUCAUUCGUAAACCAUUCUCCAGCACAGCAGCAAUGGGUAAUGCUUAGGUCUGUAGUCGUUCCAAUUCUCCCUCUUUGCUGCAACUCCCCUUCCCCCAAUUCUUCCUUUAUUUUUAAUGAUACUAUUCUUUGUAUUGAAAACGAAGGUCAGCCUGCUUGUGCUGAGUUAGAAGGUGAUGCGCUGGUUUCAAUUCUCAAUUGUUGUCUAUAUAUACAGUGUUCUCUGUCUAAUUUGGAAUUUCAAAUGAUUGCAGGUUCUCUACAAGGACGAAUUCAAGCUAUGUACUGCUUGGUUUCUUUCGUUAUUCCAGUUGAAUCUUGAAUCUGCCUGUAUCCGUGUUUUCCAAUUAGUUCUUCUCUGUUCUUCCCCCAAUUCUUCCUCCAUCAAAUAUAUAAUUUUUAUUUAUUGAUGUUUUUCCACUCCCAACUGAAGACAUGUGCUCUGAGUUGAUGGGUUCGAACUUUCUGCUGGGUUGGGUUCUUUCCUUGCAUCUCCAGUGGCUAAAGGUCAGGUUAGUAUCCGUCAUAGUUCAUACAGUGAUGGCAUAUUAUCCGUCAUAGUUCAUACAGUGAUGGCAUAUGGAGUCACUCCUAUUUAUCAUGUUACUAGACAAUAAACUGACAUAUGCUUCCAAAACCUCUAACCGAUGAUAUUCAUUUAUAUGAAAUGCAUCAACAAUGUUUACUGAAUUUGAUGAAAUUUUGAAGCAAGUAGAUGUACAAGUGGAUUUAUGAAGUCACUGUCAAGAAGCGUGUAUGAUGUAGCAACGUCAAAACAAGUCGAUUAUCCAUCCUGACCAUGAACUAACAUUCUCUCAAAUGCUUGGUAAAGGUUGAACGGCAAAGUACUUAAAAAACAUACACUAACUUGGGCCGAGAUUUUUAUUUGACCAUAUAUUGCUGUUACAGUAGGGAUUCCCUUCCCUCUAACUUCUCGGGUGUAUGCAUAUAGCACUUAGCAUUUUAAGAUGAUUGUGAAGCUUAAGGAAAAUACACAUCUCGAUACUAUAUGUAAGCACUUUGUGCUCUUCAGUCUUCACUUGGGUAAAGUUUCACCUCGGGCAACUUCUUGGGAUAAGAUUAGUUUAUUGUGCCAUACUGUUUCAAGGAAAUUGAAGAAAAUAAGAUAAGUUGUCUCAGGGAAGCAAAAAUCAGAAAAGCCACACAUGUACUUAAAUCAAGUAAAGUAGCAAUUAUGCGUCUUCAACCACUAUUUUUAUCAGCAUGUCCUAGAUGUAAAUCAGUUGCCUGAAGCCACCGCUCAAAAAAAAUGCCCGAAGCGAUCUACAACACAACAGUACAACAAUGUGGUGUUUUUCAAGCAUUUUUUGAAAACAGUACGGAUUUGGCCGUACUACAGUACCCCAUGGCCUUAGACAUGGUAUACUGCCAGCACUCUCGUUAGGAUGUACUGCAGAACAUACUUCAACAUGAUGCUCUGAUUUCCCUAUAUUUCAUUUCAGUUUAUGUAUGAUUAAUUCUUGCACCAAGCAAUUACAUUGUCCAGAUAUCCCCUCAUUCCAAAAGUGUACAUACAGGUGAUGUUCAUGCUAGCUGUGGUCGAUUGAGAUCUUGGAGCUUGGUACUAGGAUUUUUUUUUUUAGAUUGGCAGCUCGACGUUGCCCUGCCCUUCGCGCCCAUGACUCCCUGUACUGUGCUACCAUGAUGAUGGCUGUGUCAAGCCGUCCCAGAACUCCUCAUUACCCAGAAUUCAUCAAAUAGACAUCUAGGUUGAAACUUGGAGAACAUCUAAUAUCGUCAUGUUCACUUUGUCCUUUUUAUUUUGUCUCACUCUGUCAUUUAAGUAAAAGUUCAGUUUGGAUAUCUCAAGACAGAUCCAAGCUCACUUGUAAUUUUGUUUAGGAUACCAUGUGCAUCAGAGGGCAGAACUCUCCAUGAUGCAUGGAAUAAAAAUAGAGCGCCCAAACAAUUGUACCAUGAACACAUUCCUAAUCACUUCUCCGGAUUAAUUAUUUAUUU